rfam:Jeotgalibacillus malaysiensis strain D5, complete genome.
UUCAGGCUGCGUUGUUCGUAUGUUCUAAGUAAGUUUUAACCUUUGAUCUGUUAACGGGAGUUUUAAAUAAAAGUCGGAUUGUCAUGCCUCAUCAGCGUAUGAGGACGCGCAUGAACACUUUUGCGAACACCCACUUUGAGGAGUGGUGGUUUAAAAACUUUCUUAAUAAAACUACGGCAAAGGCGGCUGUAAA